CAGGUACUCCCUCCGUUCUGAAUUACUUGUCGCAGGUAUGGAUGUAUCUAGAUGUAUUUUAGUUCUAGAUACAUCCAUUUCUGCGACGAGUAAUUUGGAAUGGAGGGAGUACAAA
rnacentral:pre_miRNA from 1 species